rnacentral:rRNA from 1 species
AUUGAACGCUGGCGGCAGGCCUAACACAUGCAAGUCGAACGAGUGGCGGACGGGUGAGUAAUGUCUGGGAAACUGCCUGAUGGAGGGGGAUAACUACUGGAAACGGUAGCUAAUACCGCAUACCAUCGGAUGUGCCCAGAUGGGAUUAGCUAGUAGGUGGGGUAAAGGCUCACCUAGGGGACGAUCCCUAGCUGGUCUGAGAGGAUGACCGUCCACACUGGAACUGAGACACGGUGUAGACUCCUACGGUGGGUAGCAGUGGGGAAUAGUGCACAAUGGUCGCAAGACGGAUGCCGCAAGGCCGCGGGUAUGAAGAAGGCCUUCGGGUUGUAAAGUACUUUCAGCGGUGAGGCGGUACCCGCAGAAGAAGCACCGGCUAACUCCGUGCCAGCAGCCGCGGUAAUAC